rnacentral:rRNA from 1 species
CUGGCGGCAUGCUUAACACAUGCAAGUCGCACGAAGGCUUCGGCCUUAGUGGCGGACGGGUGAGUAACGCGUAGGAAUCUAUCCAUGGGUGGGGGAUAACUCCGGGAAACUGGAGCUAAUACCGCAUGAUACCUGAGGGUCAAAGGCGCAAGUCGCCUGUGGAGGAGCCUGCGUUUGAUUAGCUUGUUGGUGGGGUAAUGGCCUACCAAGGCGAUGAUCAAUAGCUGGUCUGAGAGGAUGAUCAGCCACACUGGGACUGAGACACGGCCCAGACUCCUACGGGAGGCAGCAGUGGGGAAUAUUGGACAAUGGGGGCAACCCUGAUCCAGCAAUGCCGCGUGUGUGAAGAAGGUUUUCGGAUUGUAAAGCACUUUCGGCGGGGACGAUGAUGACGGUACCCGCAGAAGAAGCCCCGGCUAACUUCGUGCCAGCAGCCGCGGUAAUACGAAGGGGGCUAGCGUUGCUCGGAAUGACUGGGCGUAAAGGGCGUGUAGGCGGUUUGUACAGUUAGAUGUGAAAUCCCCGGGCUUAACCUGGGAGCUGCAUUUAAUACGUGCAGACUAGAGUGUGAGAGAGGGUUGUGGAAUUCCCAGUGUA